CACGUAGGGCGCAAGCGUUGUCCGGAAUUAUUGGGCGUAAAGAGCUCGUAGGUGGUUUGUUACGUCCGCUGUGAAAUCCUAGGGCUUAACCCUGGGCUUGCAGUGGAUACGGGCAGACUAGAGGUAGGUAGGGGAGAAUGGAAUUCCUGGUGUAGCGGUGAAAUGCGUAGAUAUCAGGAGGAACACCGGUGGCGAAGGCGGGUCUCUGGGCAGUAACUGACGCUGAGGAGCGAAAGCGUGGUGAGCGAACAGG
rnacentral:rRNA from 1 species